rnacentral:snoRNA from 1 species
UUUGUUCACAGGUCCUCCUCUAAGCAUCAGGGCUAGAAUUUUGUAGCUGUUGCUGAGAAAAACCCUUGACUGCACGCACCUUGCCCUUGGAUCAUACCAGUAGCAAGUAUCACACAGUGGGACAGAG